UACGGGGGGGGGCAAGCGUUGUUCGGAUUUACUGGGCGUAAAGAGCGCGCAGGCGGUCGUUCAAGUCGCGUGUGAAAGCCCCCGGCUCAACUGGGGAGGGUCACGCGAUACUGAUCGACUCGAAGGCAGGAGAGGGUAGUGGAAUUCCCGGUGUAGUGGUGAAAUGCGUAGAGAUGUGGAGGAACACCAGUGGCGAAGGCGACUCUUUGGCCUGUAACUGACGCUGAGGCGCGAAAGCGUGGGGAGCGAACAGG
rnacentral:rRNA from 1 species